rnacentral:rRNA from 1 species
CCUACGGGUGGCAGCAGUAGGGAAUCUUCCACAAUGGACGAAAGUCUGAUGGAGCAACGCCGCGUGAGUGAAGAAGGGUUUCGGCUCGUAAAGCUCUGUUGGUAGUGAAGAAAGAUAGAGGUAGUAACUGGCCUUUAUUUGACGGUAAUUACUUAGAAAGUCACGGCUAACUACGUGCCAGCAGCCGCGGUAAUACGUAGGUGGCAAGCGUUGUCCGGAUUUAUUGGGCGUAAAGCGAGUGCAGGCGGGUCAAUAAGUCUGAUGUGAAAGCCUUCGGCUCAACCGGAGAAUUGCAUCAGAAACUGUUGAACUUGAGUGCAGAAGAGGAGAGUGGAACUCCAUGUGUAGCGGUGGAAUGCGUAGAUAUAUGGAAGAACACCAGUGGCGAAGGCGACCUGCUAGAACAUAACUGACGCUGAUGCGCGAAAGCGUGGGGAGCAAACAGGAUUAGAUACCCCUGUAGUC